rnacentral:rRNA from 1 species
GACGAACGCUGGCGGCGUGCUUCAUACAUGCAAGUCGAACGAGAAGCUGACUUCGGUCAGUGGAAAGUGGCGGACGGGUGAGUAAUAUGUAGGAAAUCUGCCUUUAGGAGGGGGACAACAGAGGGAAACUUCUGCUAAUACCCCAUAUGAGCGUAGCUGAAAUGCUAUUCUUGAAAACUCCGGUGCCUAAAGAUGAGCCUGCAUCUGAUUAGCUAGUUGGUAGUGUAAUGGACUACCAAGGCGACGAUCAGUAGCUGGUUUGAGAGGAUGAGCAGCCACAAUGGGACGGAGACACGGCCCAUACUCCUACGGGAGGCAGCAGUAGGGAAUUUUGCGCAAGGGGCGAAAGCCUGACGCAGCAACGCCGCGUGAACGAUUAAGCCCUUCGGGGUGUAAAGUUCUGUCAGUGGGGACGAAACUUGACGGUACCCACAGAGGAAGCACCGGCUAACUCCGUG